rnacentral:rRNA from 1 species
AGCUUGCUCUCGGGUGACGAGUGGCGGACGGGUGAGUAAUGUCUGGGAAACUGCCUGAUGGAGGGGGAUAACUACUGGAAACGGUAGCUAAUACCGCAUAACGUCGCAAGACCAAAGAGGGGGACCUUCGGGCCUCUUGCCAUCAGAUGUGCCCAGAUGGGAUUAGCUAGUAGGUGGGGUAACGGCUCACCUAGGCGACGAUCCCUAGCUGGUCUGAGAGGAUGACCAGCCACACUGGAACUGAGACACGGUCCAGACUCCUACGGGAGGCAGCAGUGGGGAAUAUUGCACAAUGGGCGCAAGCCUGAUGCAGCCAUGCCGCGUGUAUGAAGAAGGCCUUCGGGUUGUAAAGUACUUUCAGCGGGGAGGAAGGCGACACGGUUAAUAACCGUGUUGAUUGACGUUACCCGCAGAAGAAGCACCGGCUAACUCCGUGCCAGCAGCCGCGGUAAUACGGAGGGUGCAAGCGUUAAUCGGAAUUACUGGGCGUAAAGCGCACGCAGGCGGUCUGUCAAGUCGGAUGUGAAAUCCCCGGGCUCAACCUGGGAACUGCAUCCGAAACUGGCAGGCUUGAGUCUCGUAGAGGGAGGUAGAAUUCCAGGUGUAGCGGUGAAAUGCGUAGAGAUCUGGAGGAAUACCGGUGGCGAAGGCGGCCUCCUGGACGAAGACUGACGCUCAGGUGCGAAAGCGUGGGGAGCAAACAGAGAUUAGAUACCCUGGUAGUCCACGCCGUAAACGAUGUCUAUUUGGAGGUUGUGCCCUUGAGGCGUGGCUUCCGGAGCUAACGCGUUAAAUAGACCGCCUGGGGGAGUACGGCCGCAAGGUUAAAACUCAAAUGAAUUGACGGGGGGCCCGCACAAGCGGUGGAGCAUGUGGUUUUAAUUCGAUG